rnacentral:lncRNA from 1 species
CACCCGAUUGGGAGGGGUUGCCUCUCCCUGUGUCCACACAUAUGCCUUGAGUUGCUCUUCAGUGAAUAUCACUUUUCCUUUCAUGUUUUUUCUACAUGCUAUUAUCUGUAUGAAAUGAAGACCAAGAAAGGAUGGGAAGAAGGAGAAGAAAAAUUUUGAUUUAUCUCAGAAACUAUACUCCGAAGUGAGAGUCCUGGUUGCAGGAUCAUCACAUUUUGGAGUUCUCAGUCCUGUGUACAAAGUCCAACUAUCUGAGGCCACCAUGCACUUAGGAUGUCCAGGCCACCUGGAGAGGCUACCAGAUAUGUGUAUGAAGAAGUUGUCUUGAAAGUGGAUCUUCCAGCCCAUGUUAUUCUAGCUACAGCUGUUUGAGUCUCCUUGUACAAGCCCCAGACAUCAUGGAAUGGAGAAGAGCUGAGCCACGGUGUCCUCUCCAAAUUCUCAAUCCACAAAACUCAUGAAAAUAAUAAAAUGAUUGUGUCUUUGUGCUACUAAAUUUAGGGAAAUUUGUUAUUCAGCAAAGAUGAUUAGAACAAGAGACCACAAUUUGACUAUCAUAUUUCAGAAAUGACACAGAUCCAGAGAGGUUAAAUAAAUCAUUUUAU